CUCUUCAGCUUCCUUCACUUCCCUGCUUAGGCAUGUUACUCUAAAGUGCUUGAUAUGCAUGUAUUCUUAUAAAAUGUGGUUGUUAGUUGUAUGUUCAUGUUUUUAACGUACAUAAAUUAUAUUGUACUGUAAAUCUCAUUUCAGUUCAUUCUUUUUCACUGCAAACUAUUUUUGCUUGGCAUCAUAUUUUUAAGAUUCAUCUGUGAUGCUUGUGUGCAUCUCAUUUAUUGUUUCAGAUUACACCUCAAAGCUUUUAGGGGAAAAGGACAGUAGAUUCUUCUCUCAGAAGGCGUGGGACCUCUGGUGUGUGAGUUAUUCAUAAUACCCAUUACACAGUAAACCCCCAGAGAAAAUACAGAUCUUUAAAGAGAGCUUGGCUGAGCACAGUGGCUCAUGCCUUUUGGAGGCUGAGAGGGUGGAUCGCUUGAGCUCAAGAGUUUGAGACCAGCCUGGCAACAUGGCAAGACCCUCAUCUCUGCAAAGAGAAAAAAAAACCAAAAUUAACCAGGCAUGGUGGCAAGUGCUUGUAGUCCCAGCUACUUGGGAGGCUGAGGUGGGAGGAUGGCUUGAGCCUGGGAGGUGGAGGUUGCAGUGAGCUGAGAUCGUGCCACUACACUCUAGCCUGGGCAACAGAGUAAGACCUUGUCUCAAAAAAAAAAAAAAAAAAAAAAAAAACACACACAAAAAAAAGAGCCUGCCGUACAUAAAUCAUAAAUACAUCCAUCAAUAGAGAUCCUGAAUUCUUGAUAAACCCUGAUAUCGAGCCUAGUUAGGAGGCAAUAUUUCUGAAAAGCAUUCUGCAUAUUCUCAACUAACCACCCCACUCCACCAAUGUAUCUCUACAAUCUAAUUUGUGGCCAGUCAUUUCCAACUAUGCAUUGUCUAUAUUGGGUUCUCAGUGAAGGCAGACAAGGUUUGAGGCUUCUCAGAAGAUGGAGAUUCAGGUGGGCCUACCUCCAAAAAGACAAGAAGGACAGCCAUGACAAUGUUUGUCCUUGGACAGCUGCUGAAUCAGUUCUACUAUGCCCCCGGUGUUAGAUUGACCUACCAGGACUUCAGUGCCCUCUUUCAUUCCCACACCAUGGCCUCUAUAGGGAGGGAUUGUUUGGCUCAUAAGCUUUCCCAGCCCUUAGGCUCUGUGAGCUUUCAAUGGUUGACGGGUGGGAUGAGGAGGGAAUCUCUACAAUUUACCAAAUAAAGGGGGUUCAAUCAAUGAUUUUGUGUUAGACUCAAGGGAAGAGUAUUCAACUUCAACCAAUUAUUAUUCCCAAGGAAUAUUGAAAAUCGUUUCCUGACCAAAGAUUUUAAUCUCAGCUCU
rnacentral:lncRNA from 1 species